rnacentral:rRNA from 1 species
CCCUUAGAUGUUCUGGGCCGCACGCGCGCUACACUGAUUCAUGCAACAAGUUUUGUCCUUGGCUGAUAGGCCUGGGUAAUCUUUGAACGUGAAUCGUGAUGGGGAUAGAUGAUUGCAAUUAUUCAUCUUCAACGAGGAAUUCCUAGUAAACGCAAGUCAUCAGCUUGCAUUGAUUACGUCCCUGCCCUUUGUACACACCGCCCGUCGCACCUACCGAUUGAAUGGUCCGGUGAAAUCUUCGGAUCUGAGAGAUGUCUGAUUAAUUUCGGACGCCUUUUGGAAAAGUUGCUUAAACCUUACCACUUAGAGGAAGGUGAAGUCGUAACA